UUGUCGCUUUGGUGAGGGACGAAGCCCCUUCCUUAAUUCGUUAUGGACUGAGUGAGUGCAGGGAUUUCGCCAUAGCCAUCGCCAUAGCUGCAGCGAUUAAGCGCGGAGAAUUCAAUUCGAGAGAGAGCGAGAGAACGCCGUGCGUGGAGGGGAGAGAGAGAGAGAGAGAGGAAUGGGUUAGAGAGUGCGGCGGGGGGGAAGGACGAGCGGAUUGGUGGAGAAGAGCAUGUCAGUAGAAGUCUGUUGGAUUGCGGAAAACAGUUUGUGGUGAGAGAGUCAUGGGGGGCCGACCAGGGCCUUCGUCUCCUGAGACUACCGCUGCAUUGAAAAAUCGCGCUUAUUGUCAUCAGAAAAACCUCCUAAUAAGGUUCUAUCACGUCCUUACUCUGAGUUUGGUAUUCCCUGGGUGCCUAGGGAAGGGGGUUCAUGGAUUGGUCUGUGUAUCCUAAGUUAGGAUCGGGAUGCAUGAAUGGAAGGCAUGAGCUGUCGGCAUGAUCUGUCGGCAUGGUCGUGCAUUCUUAGGGGGGUCUCUGAAGUUGAAGUUGAAGUUGACGAUUCGAAGCUGCGAUCAGUCUGUAGUUGCAGUUGUCGAAUAAUCCUGGAUUAAAGAAGGGCACAAGUAUUGCGAAUUUCGACGUUUGUUGAUUUCAAAUUGCUAUUGGUUGCGUGAAUUAAACCUUUUUCACAUCUUUGAUCCGAGCAACACGCAGAUUCCAAACGCCAUACAAUAACAGAAAGCCCGUCAACUAGUUCACACCCCCAUCCAUGCAUUGUCUUGAUCUAAUCCGCCUCUCAUAUCUUCGUCUCUUCCCAGAAUUUCUACUCGGAUUGUUAUGCUCCUUUCUUCUGGUUGAAAUCAUGGGCAUGUAGUACCUGCGCUCCCAUUCACACCAACUCCCGUGAAUUUAGUCCGGGAUUACUCAACCAAGGAAUUAAGCUCCUCAGUCUUCGUCUGGUAGUGAUCUCCUUGGUCUCCACCAGAUUGUAUUCGGAUCGUUCACCGAGGAGGAAUCGAAGCCACUUCAACCGGCAUUACCUCCUCAGAACGGAGUGUUGCAAAAAUGGGCAGCCUCGAAGCCGCUGUUUGGAGUUGAUGACUUUCCUGAGCUCGGUACAAUUCGCACAUCUCAGCCAUCGAGGAGAAACAAUGCGGCAUUAACUCCCAAUGCACAAGCGGGAUGGGAUGCUGGCAUCUUGGGGAGGGCACCGGAGGCAGCAAUUCGCAAGCCAAGCCAAGCCAGACAAUGCAAUGAAGGGAGAAGAGCCACAUAACCAUGAGCGUCGGUGGCUGGUGUGAAACCGGUUCCGGACGAUGUGGCUACCUGUCCUCGAAGCUUCCACAACUCCAUUGCAUUAUCUGCAUCUAGCUACAUGUAUGUGCGUACAAGGUGUAAAAAGGGUUAUUAUGAAUACCAUGAGCAUGCCAAAUGAUGCUUGCAGUAUUUAUAAUAAUUCUUGAUAACCUUUGAACAUUUCAUAAAACAAUUUCGUUUAUAAGCCUUUUCUACUUUAUACAUAUUGAUAUUUCUUUUUUUGGAAGUGUUCACAAGUAUAAAUAUGUACAUAAUGUACAUGGUUUGCAUUUAAUCAAU